GCGCUGUGGUCUCGGUUUGCUCUCUAGCCCCGUCCCAUAGUGGACGAGGGAAGGGGGAAGAGUCUGGGAUCCCGGGCGAACGCGUGGUCUGUGGAAACGGCCGUGGACCCUUUGGCAAGAGGGUGGGACUGUGUCCUGUCCUCUCCUCUGAUCUCACUAGGGGUACCCAGGGUCACCGCCGUUGCUGAGGCAGAAGUGAGAUGUGUGACGUUUCUUCGGGGGCGACCCCUGUGUACAGUAAUGGAAUUGUUUAGACUUUUUCCGGGAGUCCUGCUUGCUGACACUUUACAGUUUGACUAAACAGUGUUCCCAAUGAUAGUGAUGCCACAUACCUGAGCCAGCCGCUUCAUCAUUUACGUAUCUUUCUGAUUUUGAUACAUUAAGUUGUUGCUGGAGCCGAGCAUAGUGUAGCCUGGUGAAUGACGAGGAUUCUUGGUUCCUAGACGUACGGUUCUGCCUGUGAAAUUUACUGCCGUUUACUUUAUUCUUUUUGGCCAUUUUGAACCAAAUCAGUCUGGUAACAGAUUUGCAUUCACUGCUACAGGCUAUUGUCCCGCGUUCGUUCUACAUUUAUAUGCUUCUUUUGUUUGUUGAGACGCCACUGUUAUCUCUUUUCUGACUCAAGAGCUUAUAUAUGGUAUUUACAGUUCUUAAAACAAUAUUGCAAGAAAUGUAUCACUGUGUCCAUUUUACAGAUGGAGAAAAAGGCUCAAAGAGCUAAAUAACUUGGGCAACGUCACUAGCUCAAUUAAUUUAGACAUUUAGUCAAAUAAUCAAACAAAAUGUAUUGGUUUCUACGAUUCCUUGGAGCUAUUUUUCCCUAAAAUAAGCUGCUGUCUCUAUCAGAUUGUAAAAAAGACAUAUUGACACGCAGUGAGAAAUCUUAUUUAUAUAAUAUUUUAUUGAACUAUUGAUUGGAUUGUAUUUAGUGGAAGCUGCGUCUGUUGAAAAUUUCUAAGUAACACUGAAAAUUUAAGGAUUCUGCCAAAAAAAAAGCUAUUGUAAUUUAACGUUUCUAUAAGAGUUUAAAUUUGAGAGUGUGUUCAUAUACCCUUUGAGACAUGAAACAACCCUGCGGCAUAGGUGUGGAAGGAAAUACUAUUACUCCAUCUUAUAGAUUAAGAAACAGGAAACAGGGUAGUCCAAGGGUAGCUUGAAUAGUUCAAGCUAAACUCAAGUAUUCAGCGGC